rnacentral:rRNA from 1 species
UACGUAGGGUGCAAGCGUUGUCCGGAAUUAUUGGGCGUAAAGAGCUCGUAGGCGGUCUGUUGCGUCGGCUGUGAAAACCCGGGGCUCAACUCCGGGCCUGCAGCCGAUACGGGCAGACUAGAGUUCGGCAGGGGAGACUGGAAUUCCUGGUGUAGCGGUGAAAUGCGCAGAUAUCAGGAGGAACACCGGUGGCGAAGGCGGCUUUCUGGACAGAAACUGACACUGAGGCGCGAAAGCUAGGGGAGCAAACAGG